CAGUAGCCACGGGAAAACGUAGGGUGCGAGCGUUGUCCGGAAUUAUUGGGCGUAAAGAGCUUGUAGGUGGUUUGUCGCGUCUGCUGUGAAAAUCCGAGGCUCAACCUCGGACUUGCAGUGGGUACGGGCAGACUAGAGUGUGGUAGGGGAGACUGGAAUUCCUGGUGUAGCGGUGGAAUGCGCAGAUAUCAGGAGGAACACCGAUGGCGAAGGCAGGUCUCUGGGCCAUUACUGACACUGAGAAGCGAAAGCAUGGGGAGCGAACAGGAUUAGAUACCCCGGUAGUCCCUGUCUCUUAUAA
rnacentral:rRNA from 1 species